GCGAGUGAAGCGGCAACAGCUCAAAUUUGAAAGCUGGCUCCGGCCCGCAUUGUAAUUUGCAGAGGAUGCUUCUGGCGAGGUGCCUUCCGAGUUCCCUGGAACGGGACGCCAUAGAGGGUGAGAGCCCCGUAUGGAUGGACACCAAGCCUGUGUGAAGCUCCUUCAACGAGUCGAGUAGUUUGGGAAUGCUGCUCAAAAUGGGAGGUAAAUCUCUUCUAAAGCUAAAUAUUGGCCAGAGACCGAUAGCGCACAAGUAGAGUGAUCGAAAGAUGAAAAGCACCUUGAAAAGGGGGUUAAACAGUACGUGAAAUUGUUGAAAGGGAAGCGCUUGUGACCAGACUUGCGCCGGGCGGUUCAUCAGGGGUUCUCCCCUGUGCACUCCGCCCGGCUCAGGCCAGCAUCGGUUCUCGUGGGGGGAUAAGAACGGUGGGAACGUGGCCCCCUCUCGGGGGGGUGUUAUAGCCCGCCGUACGAUACCCUCGUGGGGACCGA
rnacentral:rRNA from 1 species